ACAGCACAGCCAUGGUGAGCGCCAAGAGACUCCUCAAGAUGGCCACCCUCCGGAGACCAAGGAUCCCCCUGUCCAAAUCAGUCCACGGAACAGCCGCGCCGCUGUGCAGCAGCCCCUCCUCCCCUGUACCCAGCAAGGGAACCUUCGUCGUCUACUCUCGGGACGGAGCACGCUUUGUGGUUCCCUUGGCGUACCUCGACGCCACCGUCUUCAGGGAGCUCCUAGAGAUUUCCAAAGAGGAGUUCGGGCUUCCCGGCGACGGCCCCAUCGUGAUGCCAUGCGAUGCAGCUCUCAUGGCUCAAGUCAUCGCGGCGCUCCGCAGAGGGGCACCUCGAGAGGCGGAGAAGGCGCUGCUCGGCACCAUCGCCGGGGUGCGGUGCUCAUCCUCGUCCUCGCCCCCGCAAGGCGUUGCCCACCGGCCACUUCUAGUCCCUGGUUUCUGAACACUGUCAGACUAACUCCCCAUUUAUACAAUCUGUAGAUAUCUACGAACAAAUGUUCAAACUAUUUGAAGGAAACUUAUGUCUCCCUAUCGUGUGGCGUAACUCUGUUCAGCAGAUGCAUUAAAGGAAAUACGUUCUUUCUUUUGAUGUAGCUAUUUUUCACUCUAUACUUCCUCCAACACGAUUCGAUCACACUUGCAGUACAAUGUUUGAUUUAAUACGAAAAUCUUCUCAAAUUAUCAAUAACAAUAUUUUGAGGGCGUUUGAUCCGAACCAAUAUUCUCUUCCUCGACAUCACUAAGCAGAAAUAAGGUUUAUAGUAUAAAUUUUGUAAUGAUGGCUGUCAUAUUGAUGAAUGAAUUUAGCUAAACUAUUUAGAUGGAAACUUUUAUUCAAUCUUUUACUCGAAGUUAACAAUAAAUUCUUGAAAAGUUCAUUUUUUUUUGUACAAAAUGAUGUCAUAUACAGCAUCUGUCACCGAUCCGCGGUUAGAAUAUAUUAAACAGUCUCGCACUGAUACCACAAGUUCCACGCAUGCCACACUCGAUUGCACUACAAUAUUCAUUAGUCCUGUUGCAAGUUCUAUACCUCUUAUUGGUAUUUUGAUGUAUACGCAUGCCACACACGAUGUUACAAUAUAUUCGUCAUGUUUGCUUUCAAAUUUCAUGGAAGAGCCGCUCGAUCAAUCGUACUUGACCAGAUUAUUAAAUUAUCCCAUGUCCAUAUUAUAAGCAAUGCUCUAAAGAUGCUACACUUACGAUUCAUCUUAAAAAACAACGUACUCGUUCUGAAGAAAAGGCUCGACUAGUUCUUUGACUUGAAGCAUCACUCCUAAGAAGCAUAAGAUUUCAUCUAAUUAAGGUGGUAUCGGAAUACCCCUGGCAUCGUAGAAUGACCGUCCUAACCCUGUAAUCCGCAGCAUCUCAUCUAGCGAACUGUAUAUUUUCUCCUCCAAAUAGGUAUCAUUUCAAUGGUCGAUGAGAUCCACUGAUGUUUAAUAUUACUACACGAAAAAAAAGUGUUUAAGACGAUACAUUUUGAAAUAUUUGUGCGUCGUAUUCUUGGUGCUGCAUUUUAGACCAAGUAUGCUCUUGAAGGCCUCGUGCUGCUCCUUAUGAUGGCAUAUCCGAAUGCAUAAGCUUACGCCUUCGAAGCCUCAUCUCGUCCCCGUACGUCCCAACGAAACGAUAUGCUCUUACUAGGAAUAUCCAGAUCUGAUGAUAAGACGGGUCCUUGAAAGGUUGUCUGUUAUCCCAUAUUGUAUCAGAGUUAUAUGGGGAAGGACUAGCUUCGUAUGUGGGUCCCGUCAUGUCUCGUCGCUGGGCCCAACCCUUAUCGUGACAACUCACGUUAUGGGUCCCAUAACAUCUUCUCUGGGGCCCUCUAGCGCCCGUUUCUGUCAGGGCAUUUAUCGUGACCAACGGGCUCCCGUGGUCAUCACGUGGCCUGGCUCGGGGUGCCGUCUCUCUCUCACCCUGCUCUUAUAAAUCUCCACCCGAGGAACCCGGACCUCCACACCCUCAGCAAAGCUCCGGCAAUCCCACAACAUCUCUCCCAUACUCUCUUCCUCCCCUCCUUAACCACUGCAUCGCCAUGGUCAGCGCCAAGAGGCUCCUCCAGAUGGCAAGGAAGUGGCAGAAGAUGGCCGCCCUCCGGAGACCGAGGAACCUUCUGUCCAGACCAGCACACGAAACCACCGCCCCGCUGCGCAGCAGCCCCUCCAGCUCUGCACCGAGCAAGGGAACCUUCGUCGUCUACUCUCGGGACGGCGGACGCUUUGCGGUUCCCUUGGCGUAUCUCAACACCCCCGUCUUCAGGGAGCUCCUCGAGAUGUCCGAGGAGGAGUUUGGAUUACCCAGCGACGGCCCCAUCGUGAUGCCAUGCGAUGCGGCUCUCAUGGCGCAGGUCAUCGCGGCGCUCGGCAAACGGGCGCCUCGAGAGGCGGAGAAGGCGCUGCUUGGCACCAUCGUCGGGGCCCGGUGCACAUUCUCGCAAGGCGUCACCCACCGGCCAUUGCUAAUCCCUGGAUUCUGAACAAUGUCCAAGUCCCCAUUGAUACCACCUGUAAAUGCGUAGAAUACGUCCACUGAUUUUUCACGGCAUGUCUCGCUCUGAUAUGAACUGCGUUGUUCAUUGAACGAAAGAAAUUCAGUCGUGUCCACUUAUAUGCCUGUUCUUUACUAGUGACGUUCGUGAUCGAGAUCAACACACAUUGCCUUUCUGGGUCAGAUUUGAGACGGAACAACGGACUUCCAUUGUUAUCCGCAAUGAGCAACGGUCCUUAAGGUCCAUCGAUAAUGGAGAGGCGAUCGUCUUCCUGAACUGGAAACCCUGUCUGAAAUGAGAUCUCUUGGAUUGCGAAGCAAGCCAUCUGAACUAUCAUUUUCUCUCAUAUUAUUAAAAUAUGUAUGCGUAUUUUCUCAUUCUUACGCAUUUCCGCCCGUCGGAGCAUUCAUAAGUCGACCAACAAUUGUUCAAUGAUGACUUGUUCGUCCAAAUCUUCAAUGACACUAUUCCUAGGGUACUAGAGCGGCUCUAAUAUUCCCUCACUUGUCACUUUGAAGGCAAGUGAUACCUUUAAUGGAUUUUAAUAUUGUAAAUGAAGAUGGCCAUAGUUUAUGAGUCAAUUUGACGAAACUAUUAACUUGGUUGUAAACUUUUAUCCAGAAUUUUAUGCUAAAUUAAAGAGUGAAUCAUCAUGGAAAUCAACAAUUAUAACCGAAACAAUGACACAUGCUGGUUGUGACAAUCAUAUGCCAUUACAACAUGAUAAUUACUCGGUAUAAAUUAUGUCUCAUUGGUCUUUAGAAGUUAUGCUGCAAUGUUCUCAUUCAAUUCCAACAAUUUCCUUUGCCUAAUACAAUUCCGAGGAACACGGCAUUAUCACGUUAUCCAACCUUUCCAUGACACUCACAGUACCACCAAAUUUUCUAAAUGAGUUGAGUCUAUACCACCAACAACCCUCUUGGUUGCAAUUCAUUCCCUUAAUCUAAUUUGAUGUUUAUUCAUCCUUUAUGCAUUUUUACAAGGUGAUUAAGAGCUCAGUACCACCAAAUUUUCUAAAUGAGUUGAGUCUAUACCACCAACAACCCUCUUGCUUGCAUUCAUGAGCUCUUAAUCACCCUGUAAAAAUGCAUAAAGGAUGAAUAAACAUCAAAUUAGAUUAAGGGAAUGAAUUGCAACCAAAGUCAGAAGUAUCCCUUUUAAGUGGAGAAAAAUGGCGCAUGUCUAAUGUUAUUCUCAAAGUAAAUUAGUAAUAUGGCAUACCCACACUAUUUUUUAUAAUGCACCGGCCUUUCCUCCACAUUAUAACAAAAACCAUUCAUUAACUCGAUAGCCAUCUCAUCAUUGAAAGUGCGAUCUGACUGGUGCCCUUACUAUUAUUGCUCGAACAUCACGUAACGUUCAAGGCACGAAAACUGUCUGUACAUCUGAAGAAGUCCCAACAUUAUACAAAGAAUGCCUUCAUAUCCGUUAUAAUUUAUGCCUUGACUUUAACUCUUCCAGUCCUCAUUCAAAGACUCGUUUAAUGCGCGGGUCCUCCGACUCUCCCAGUCCUCCGACUCAGAGGCCAGCCCUUAUCGUGACAACUCAUGGUAUGGGUCCCAUCGCCUCCGUUGCUGGGCCUCUGUCGUGAGCCCGACAAGCUCGGCCUGUAUGUGAGCCCCACGACACAUGGCCAUGCAAUAUUCCUGUUUCUGGCCCGACACUUAUCCUGAUGGCCCAGCCAAGCAGACCACCCCCUUAAGGUCAUCACGUGGCCUGGCCCGGGGUGCCGAACACGCACACAUCCUCCUCUUAUAAAUCAGCAAUCGAAGAACCGGGAUCUGCACCCUCAGCAAGGCUCCGACAAUCCCACAUCCUCUCGCCCACACUCCCUUCCUCCCCUCGUGAAUCAAAGCACCGCCAUGGUCAGCGCCAAGAGACUCCUCCAGAUGGCCGCCCUCGGGAGACCGAGGAUCCCCCUCGCCAAACCAGCCCACGGAAACACAGCGCCGCAGCGCAGCAGCCCCUCCUCCUCUACACCCAGUAAGGGAACCUUCGUCGUCUACUCUCGAGAUGGAGGACGCUUCGCGGUUCCUUUGGCUUACCUCAACACCUUCGUCUUCCGGGAGCUCCUCGCGAUGUCGGAAGAGGAGUUCGGAUUACCCAGCGACGGCCCCAUCGUGAUGCCGUGCGACGCGGCUC
rnacentral:lncRNA from 1 species